GACGAGCCACCCAAACGUUAUUCGGAAUUACUGGGCUUAAAGGGUGCGUAGGCGGCUUUGUAAGUCAGUGGUGAAAUAUGGCAGCUCAACUGUCAAGGUGCCAUUGAUACUGCGGAGCUUGAGUACAGAUGAGGUAGGCGGAAUUGACGGUGUAGCGGUGAAAUGCUUAGAUAUCGUCAAGAACACCUAUAGCGAAGGCAGCUUACUAGGCUGUAACUGACGCUGAGGCACGAAAGUGUGGGGAUCAAACAGG
rnacentral:rRNA from 1 species